rnacentral:rRNA from 1 species
CACGUAGGGGGCAAGCGUUGUCCGGAUUUAUUGGGCGUAAAGAGCUCGUAGGCGGUUCGGUAAGUCGGGUGUGAAACCUCCAGGCUCAACCUGGAGACGCCACCCGAUACUGCUGUGACUCGAGUCCGGUAGGGGAGCGUGGAAUUCCUGGUGUAGCGGUGAAAUGCGCAGAUAUCAGGAGGAACACCGGUGGCGAAGGCGGGUCUCUGGGCAACAACUGACGCUGAGGAGCGAAAGCGUGGGGAGCGAACAGG